GACGAACGCUGGCGGCGUGCUUAACACAUGCAAGUCGAACGAAGCGGCGAACGGGUGAGUAACGCGUAAUCAACCUGCCCUUCAGAGGGGGACAACAGUUGGAAAAGACUGCUAAUACCGCCUAAUGAAGGAGGGGAUUGCGUCUGAUUAGCUCGUUGGAGGGGUAACGGCCCACCACGGCGAUGAGCAGUAGGCGGUCUGAGAGGGUGAACGGCCACAUUGGGACUGAGACACGGCCCAGACUCCUACGGGAGGCAGCAGUGGGGAAUCUUCAGCAAUGGACGAAAGUCUGACGGAGCAACGCCGCGUGAGUGAUGACGGCCUUCGGGUUGUAAAGCUCUGUUAAUCGGGACGCGGUACCGGAAUAGAAAGCCACGGCUAACUACGUGCCAGCCGCCGCGGUAAUAC
rnacentral:rRNA from 1 species